rnacentral:rRNA from 1 species
UACGUAGGGUGCGAGCGUUGUCCGGAUUUAUUGGGCGUAAAGAGCGUGUAGGCGGUUUGGUAGGUCCGCUGUGAAAACUCGAGGCUCAACCUCGAGACGCCGGUGGAAACCAUCAGACUAGAGUCCGGAAGAGGAGAGUGGAAUUCCUGGUGUAGCGGUGAAAUGCGCAGAUAUCAGGAAGAACACCCGUGGCUAAGGCGGCUCUCUAGUACGGUACUGACGCUGAGACGCGAAAGCGUGGGGAGCGAACAGG